rnacentral:rRNA from 1 species
UGAGGAAUAUUGGACAAUGGGUGGAAGCCUGAUCCAGCCAUCCCGCGUGAGGGAGGACGGCCCUAUGGGUUGUAAACCUCUUUUGUACGGGGAUAAACCUAUCUACGUGUAGAUAGCUGAAGGUACCG